UACGUAGGGUGCAAGCGUUGUCCGGAAUUAUUGGGCGUAAAGAGCUCGUAGGCGGUUUGUUGCGUCGGCUGUGAAAUCCCGAGGCUCAACCUCGGGUCUGCAGUCGAUACGAGCAAACUAGAGUGUUGCAGGGGAGACUGGAAUUCCUGGUGUAGCGGUGAAAUGCGCAGAUAUCAGGAGGAACACCUGUGGCGAAGGCGGGUCUCUGGGCAGUAACUGACGCUGAGGAGCGAAAGCGUGGGUAGCAAACAGG
rnacentral:rRNA from 1 species